rnacentral:rRNA from 1 species
UACGAAGGGGGCUAGCGUUGCUCGGAAUUACUGGGCGUAAAGGGCUCGUAGGCGGCCAACUAAGUCAGACGUGAAAUCCCUCGGCUUAACCGAGGAACUGCGUCUGAUACUGGAUGGCUUGAGUUCGGGAGAGGGAUGCGGAAUUCCAGGUGUAGCGGUGAAAAUGCGUAGAUAUCUGGAGGAACACCGGUGGCGAAGGCGGCAUCCUGGACCGACACUGACGCUGAGGAGCGAAAGCCAGGGGAGCAAACGGG